rnacentral:rRNA from 1 species
AGGACGAACGCUGGCGGCACGCCUAACACAUGCAAGUCGAACGGAGAUUUGAGAGCUUGCUCUUGAAUCUUAGUGGCGGACGGGUGAGUAACACGUGAGCAACCUGCCUCUGAGAGAGGGAUAGCUUCUGGAAACGGAUGGUAAUACCUCAUAACAUAGCUGGACCGCAUGAUCCGGUUAUCAAAGAUUUAUCACUCAGAGAUGGGCUCGCGUCUGAUUAGCUAGUUGGUGAGGUAACGGCCCACCAAGGCGACGAUCAGUAGCCGGACUGAGAGGUUGAACGGCCACAUUGGGACUGAGACACGGCCCAGACUCCUACGGGAGGCAGCAGUGAGGGAUAUUGCACAAUGGAGGAAACUCUGAAUGCAGCGAUGCCGCGUGGAGGAAGAAGGUUUUCGGAUUGUAAACUCCUGUUUCGAGGGACGAUAAUGACGGUACCUCGGGAGGAAGCUCCGGCUAACUACGUGCCAGCCGCUGC